rnacentral:lncRNA from 1 species
UGCCAAGCCAAGUUCAUAGGACACAAAUGAGACAAACAAGAAGGCAACAGCUGUCCCUGGGAGAGAAAGGAUUGAUAACUGAUGUUUUUUUCCUGCCAAUCUGAAUUUGGAAAAGAAGGGACAGCGUGGAAUUUUACCGUCCUUUCUUGACCAGGCACCACAGACAGAGAGCUGGGAGAGCUGAUUCUGCUAAGAAUUCUUACCCUUAGCUGGCUUCUGCCAACUUUCCUAUGAGCCGUCUGCACUCUCCAGAGUGAACGAACUGUCCCAGCAGGUCUCACCCUGGUCACCAGAAACCGUAGAGGGGAAAAAAUAAUUUUCCCUCUAGCCUUUAUAGCGAAUGCCUGGCUGAGACCUCUUUUUCUCUACGGCGCCUCGAAAACGGAUGAGCUUAUCUGAGAUGGUUAAAAGUUCUCCACAGUGGCCACUGUAAUUCAAGAUUAUUUUUGUUGCAGUGUUCUCUGCUCUGCAAGAAAAUCUGAGUUGGCGUUUCUGAUUCUGGCAUGUGGCAAGGAGGACCCGAACUGCAAAGCUCUGUCCUGUCUGACUGUGUUCCAGAGUGGACAGUGUGAAGUGCAAGAGGAACAUGGAACUCAGUAGUUGCCUCCUGUCUAAAACGAGUGUCCAGUUGGAAUCUCAGCUUUGGAUUCUGUCUCCAGGCUCUGGAGUGAAUGGCGUGUCCCAGCGGGUCUCAUCCUGGUCACCAGAAACUGUCAAGGAGGAAAAAUAAUUCUCCCUUUUGCCUUUGUUGGUGAGUGCUUAGCUGAGACAGCUUUUGCUCUAGGGAACCUUGUCAAUGGGUAAGUUUAUCUAGGUGAAAAGUUCUCCACUGUGGCUACCGUAAUUCAGGAUUC